GUAGGCAGGAGGGCAAGGAAAGAGAAGGAUGAGAUCAGGAAAGUAGGAGUGAAAGGCUUGAGAAAAUCUCUACCAGGAGAGCAAGGAGAAAAGCACAUUGAAGGUACACAGUCCAGUUCCUUGCUUGCAGACUGCCUCAGUGCCAAAAGAGCUUCUCGAAGUAGCUGAAAGGUGACUACUACCAAGUGCCUCUGAUUAUUGGUUUUGGCAUUCAAUUUUAUCAUUAAACCCUCUUGGAAAACUGAGCCUUCUUUUGAUGCUGAUGAUCAGCCAGCUCUUGCAGAGAGAUGCCAUGGCUAAAACCAAUUUGCAACCACGCACAAAAUAAAUGACAUCUCUGUUUUGGACAGAUGUCCAAACAGAUGCUGGGGAAAAGGUGAUGGGGUGCCUUGUGAAGAUCCACAUCACUUCGUAUUUCAGGGAUAGAUGUUUCAGAUAAUCAGUAUCCGCUUUGAAUUCAGCUAAUUCAGGUCUUAAAUGCCCUUGCUGGAAGAGGAAAGUUUGAAAACUGCAAUCUUCCUGGCUAUACUUCUUGAAUUUUCCACUUGUUGCUGCUGGCAACAGACUAUACCCUGCUCUGAGAUGACCAGUACUAACUCCAGAAAGGGUCCUGGUCAGGACUAGAAAAUAAGUAAAAGAGAGAAAGAAAACCACAAAGAAAGAGGCAUAUGAAAAGUGAAACAAUAUGGAGCUGGAGGUGAACUGAAACACUCAGAGGUAAUUUGCCUUGAGGAGCAGGAACCCUUGAGACCUGUGCGUAGAUGCUGGAAGAAAAGAUUCUGUGAACAACAGUAAAGGCUAUGAAUGUGCUAUCCUCUGACAGGUUUCUCAUCGGAAGAUACAAGCUGUCACGGUCCCUUGCCAAUCACAUGAGAACUGACCUAGGAGAACAUCAACUGAAGGUUGCCUUCUGACUGGAAAAUGAGCAGUCAAAAAGUCCCAUGGCCUUUCUGCUCUUUACACUGAAAGGAAAAUGAGCUGCCUGGUCAUAGGAUGAACGUUGUCUUGGGUCACCAUCGAGAUCCUGACCUGCCUAACUGAUGUGACACUGGGAAAGAGGAACCCAAAGGCUAAUAUUCUUUCAGGAAGCAUAAAUCGUAUUGCUGGAAGUAAUAGCAACCUCCUCAGGAAAAUCCCGUAGGACUCACGCCGCUCUGCUGUCUUGAAGAGCUCCGUUCCAAGUACAUCCAGGGUUGCCUCUUUCCCGGCGGACAUCCCGAGCAUUGCACUUGUGAUCAUGCACUGGGAGCUGCAGAUGAUGCCAAGGCAACUGGAUCUUUUUGCAUUAGGGUUUGCCUGGUGUUUUGGCCCUUAUGUGCAGUCCUGGGUCACAGGAGAAUCUGUGAGACUCCUGUCCCAACCAUCGUAAUUUUGGUCUCUCUUCUUACUUUUCAGUAUGCAUGUGUAACUCCCAUGAAUGUAAAUAAAAAUUAUGUACACACAUGGAGAGGGAAAUAGAUGCAUUUAUCUUGGCUGAAGACAAGCAGCGUCUCCCCAGGGAGCUACUUAGGAGGUUAUUGAGAAGCCAACAGCAAAGUGCAGUGGGCUGUACCUUCCUACAUGUGUGUUGCAGAAAUUAUUGGUGUGUUGCUGAUGUUUAUGGCAAACAAAUAGUUUA